GCUCCUACCGAUUGGAUGACUCGGUGAAAUCACCGGAUUCGUACGCGGAGAAAGUGAUUAAAUCACGUUAUCUAGAGGAAGGAGAAGUCGUAACAAGGUAACG
rnacentral:rRNA from 1 species